UGACAAAAAAUUAACUCAUAUCCAUCACACAUUCACCUCCCUGUAUCUCUCGAUACGGCUCCACUCUCACAUCCAUCACAAAAUCUCGCCGUCGGAGCGUUCCGGAACCAAUACACACCACCGUGUAUGCAAGAAUCUCAACCCCACCAUCUUUAAAUUGCGUCAUCUUCAUCGUACAUCUCUACAGUCUCGUACCUCAACACCUCAUCUGUUUCGCUCAUCUCCGACCUCGCCUAGCCACAACAUCAGCCAAAUCACUACAUCAGUCUAGCAAUUCUUAUCCUUCUAAAUCUGAUUCAAAGAUCCUUCAUAUUUCCCGCUUAUUGGUUAGUGAUGCUAGCUAGUGCCUAAUCUAGUAAUGUAAACUUUUAUAAGUUUUUGGUUCCAAGCUAUGGCUUUUCAAGUUAACAACUUGAUGCAGCUUUUGAGAAUAUGAAGCAUGUUGGAAUAUGAUCCUCAACAAAAUUGUGCAUGGAGUUUCAAAGCCAAUGGUUCCUAGAUUCAUGAAGAUGCAUGUGUGCAAUUUGAUCCAACUUGGCUUAAUGUAUGCUUCAAAUGCAUUAGGAAACAUUGCUGGAAAUGUUUCAGAUUAUUCAUUGCUAGUUUCUUGGGCUGAUUCAAAGAUCUUUUCUUAUUGAGAAUUAAUACCGCUGCUAUUUUCGGCGAGAACAAAAAUCCAAGGAUGGUUCAAGCAUAGAGGUAAAAAAAAACCCUUUUAUCUUCUGUUAUGUUCAUUUCAUAGUCAGAUCUGCACAUGAAUAUCCCUCUGCCUUGAGAUAGCUUGAUACAAUGCUUAUUGCAUGAUCACAAAUCCUAAUUUAAAUAUGAUCAUUAUUUGUUAUGUAGGAUUCAGUAUAUUGUAAUUUAUUUGGUUGUCUCUACACGCUAAAAAUCUUAUAGGUGCUGUUUUAUUUUGAAGCUAUAGUGCUGUACUAAUAAAACUUCAUAGCCAAUUUUGAUCUUAUUUUCUUAUCACAGUACUUGAAGCUCAAAUUCACUAAUAAUAACAAUGGCUUUAUUAUAUGAUUAGAGUUGUAGUAGUAAUUGUGUAGCUUAUAUUAUGAAUGGCCAAAACAGGCUUUCGUUUUUCUGCACCUAUGAUAUGCAAUUUACACAACUUUAUUACGUAUUAUUAUAUGAGUAUUAGUAACUAGUGUUUAACAUAUAAUUGGAAUUAUCUGACAGCAGUUGUCACAAUUUUAGGAGCUUAUAAAAGGGUUAUAGGUAGUUUAUCAAGAGAAAAUAAUGGAUACAAAAAUUAUUUACGAGCUAGUUUUCCUUCGCCUUAGAUUCAAGCUUAUCGCAAUGAAAAAGUCAGGACUUUCCUAAUGUAUAUAUAAGAACUGACGGGAGAUUAUAUGUUACAAGGUAUUUGUUCUUCUUAUAGAGAGCUAGUUGGUGUACAUCAGUUACACUAAAUCUUGCUUACCAUAUACUGUAAUUUUAUUAAGCUUUUUAUUCAUGAUGGUUAUGUGUAUGUUGUAUUAAAGUAUGGCUGCAACUUACUUUUGAGAUUGAACAAGUUUGAACAUA